rnacentral:lncRNA from 15 species
GACUCCCCUCCGCUGAGCUUUGACCAACCAGUCUGCAGCAUCAUCAAACAAUUAACAAAAAAAUCUGAUUCUCUUUACCUUCCUGAUCAAUGACGGACAGUAAAAGAAAAGAUCUGUGGCUUCAAUCCACAGAGAGAAUGAAGAUGGACAGUCAGCGUGUCUGUCUGUGUCCAACUCUUCCUCACAGAGCUCCACUAACCUGCCUGUGACUGAAUGAACGGAGCCCCAACCCCAACUCUGCAUCCCCCUUUUCUUAAUGCAUCCAUGGGCGUAAGCACUUUGAAAGUAAUGAAAGAAUACAUCAGUGGUUAGAAAACACAAGCCAUUAAGUGACGUCAAGGAGGAGAGCGAGAGAUGGUGUGAAGGUACCCGGAGGACAUGUAAAAGAGGAGAGGAGAAGAAGAAGAAACAAGCCUGCAGAGUGAGAAAGACAGCAGAGUGAAAGUGAGAGGAGACGGAGAGAGAUUAGUGUUUGCAGGGGUUUUUUAAUUCCUGCCUGUUUGGGGACUCAGUGGGUCUAAAUUGCACCCAGGUGAAAUUUCAGAGGGUUGAUUCUUAAACCCCGCAGACUGUUGAAUAUAAUAUUUUCCCAGAAUAUUAAAUUGAAUUGCAUCUCCAAAUGACUCCUGCUGGGAAAUCCCACGACCUCAAACUGCUGUGUUAGAAGUGUGUCCAGAUAGGUGUGUGUAUAUCCAAGUUCAUCUGUGAGAGUGUUUGUGCCUGAGGAUACAUGAAUCCCACCACAAUUCUGUUUAUUAAGCCCUUUUCAGACAUAUAACAGGUUUCUCUAACAUCUCAGGAUCAACUCAACCAAGUGUGAACCUAUCACGACUCAUCGUAACUUCAUUCAAAGUGGACAGAAACAGAAUCCAACUCAUUAAAAGCGUCUCUGUUAGUGUUUCCAACAAUCACCAAGUCUGGUUUGGUGGAAAUAAAU